UGACCAUCACCAGGAGGAGACUGCCUCCUC
rnacentral:sRNA from 1 species